GGGAGCUGUGCAGUGCAGACACAGAAACCUACAUCUACAUGCAGGCCAAUAAGACGAGAAGAUAAAAGUCCAAGCUGGCUUCAGUAGUUUCGUACGGUCAGGGAGAGAGGCUGCAAUGAAAAGCGUUACACUAACGGGUGAUUGUUUCAUAUUUUCGUCUGUUUUUGAUGCACGUGACCGACAUUUAUAGCGUUGUAGCCCGGACUUUGCUGUUUAUUAUAGACACGCCUAAAAUCAGAUUAAUUUAUAUUGAAUUCAUGGGUAACCUCGCCAUUUUCUUUUGCUAUUUCAUCCUCACUUAUCAGGUUCACUGAGGAAAUGGAACUGAUGGUCACACAGAUUUAUGGAGGCAGACAUCCAAAACCUUGAUUGGACCUCCAGGAGAGACGAGUGUGGCCACUGGGACGUGCACAUUUAUGGACUUAAAGUACCAAGAUCAUAAGGCGCAUAAACCAACCUCGUGUUAAGCCAACACCUCCGUCUCCUGCAGAGGAGCUCCGCAAUGGGGAAAUCCACAGGUCAGCAAGAAAGCAAAAGAGACUGCGCCCUACAGAACCUUGCAGCGCAGAUGAAGGCACUCCCUAAAGUUGUGGGCCGUGAGCUGCCACCUACUCGGGAUUUGCUGGUGAUAGAAGGGACGUGGAUCUACUCUGCAGCUUGCAUUAUUACACGCCAAGUGUGUGUUUCACUGUUUGAUAAUGGAAGGGAACAAACUCAAUACUUGGUGGAGAAAACAUUGGCUGCAAUACAUCUGAAUCUGAACUGUGAUAAAGAAAAAUAACGUGACAGCGGAUGAAGUUUGUUCCUGAGAACAGGAAAAAAAAAAAAAACAGUUGUGAUUCUGAUGUUGGUAAUAACAUGAGAUGUAUUCAUUAGGUAAUACUACAGAAAAUGUCUUAUUACCAAUAUGUUUCUUCAUAGUGUGAAUUUGAGGUUUGACUUGGAGUUUUGACAUGCUGCAUUUUUUCACGCAGUCACUUUGGUUUUGACAUUAAUUUGUCGAUUUGAUUCUGCUUCAAACAAAA
rnacentral:lncRNA from 1 species